CGGGGCUGAAUCCCCCUCCGAGACGCCGGACCUCAGGGUCUGGACGGCGCACGUGGCGACGACGGCCGGGUCCCGCGCAACGAGAUCUGAUGAACCCCGCCAGGUCCGGAAGGAAGCAACGGUAAGUCAGUGCUCUCGUGUGCCGCGGGGACACCUGGUCCGAGCCGGCGGUGCUGAUCCCGCCUGGGGGCUGGUUGGCGACGAGGGGUGCACGG
rnacentral:SRP_RNA from 1 species